rnacentral:lncRNA from 1 species
GGCAGAUUCAAGAGGUAUAAUGCUCAUCCAAUGAACUUUCUGGAAAACUGACCGAAUGUAUAUUGGAUCGCUACGCUUGGAGAUUAGGACAAAAGGUCAUCAUCAGAAAAGCUAAGUUUGCUAUACAGUAAGGAUCAGGAGAUCUGACCCUGGUUGCAGAACCAUUCCUGGUUGCAGAAUACAGGGUUGUAUUCCCACUUCAUCUUUCCAGACCAUCCUAGGAGAUCUGUAAGAUUCCAUCUGGGAGAUUACUAGGAAUCCUUGGAAGGGAGAGAAGGAACAUUGUUGGUUGGAAUAAAAACAGGGUUGAAUGAGUUCCAGAAAGCAGGCUUCUCAAACUCGUGGACAACAAUCUGCUGAAGAAGACAACUUUAAGAAACCCACUCGCAGCAAUAUGCAGAGAAGUAAGAUGAGAGGAGCUGCCUCAGGAAAGAAGUCAGCUGGUUCGCAGCCGAAGAAUCUUGAUCCAGCCCUCCCAGGAAGAUGGGGAGGUCGCUCUGCUGAGAACCCCCCUUCUGGUUCUGUGCGGAAGACAAGGAAGAACAAGCAGAAGACUCCUGGCAACGGAGACGGUGGCAGUACCAGUGAAGUCCCCCAGCCUCCUCGGAAGAAAAGGGCACGGGCUGACCCCACUGUGGAGAGCGAGGAAGCAUUCAAGAGUAGGAUGGAGGUGAAGGUGAAGAUCCCUGAAGAAUUAAAACCAUGGCUGGUGGAAGAU